CUGUCCCUCUCUCCUGCUCAUGCACUCUCUCCCUCAAAAUAAAUACUUUAAAAAUAUUCCAAUACAUGCAAAUACAAAGAAAAUGCUGUGCCAAAAGGACUGCACUCUUCACCCCAGACCCUACCACACACUCUAAUUUCGAAGGCCUGGAAGAUACAGACAUCUUUUACAGUUGCUUCCAGGCAAACCCAAUGCUCCUUUCAACCUCUAAGAUGAAGGAACUGGCCAUGAGACGACUAGGAAAGAUCUGGACUCUACGUGCCUUGCUCUAACUCUUGUUCACCAUGACAUUCCAGGCAAUUCAUUUUGCCAACAGCUCUGAGAGGCUGGGGUUAAAUGAUCACACAUAAAACACACACACACACACACACACACACACACACACACACACACACACACACAAAGAGGACCAUGGUGGGAUUAAAGAUGGCAGUUUACUAUGUGAAAGUAUUGGCCAAAAUGUGAAUAACUUCAAAAAGGUAAUUAUUAUCCCUCCUGCCCCAACUUGUUAAUCAUCAACUUUUCUCACUUCAUCUGUAUGUUGCCCAAAAUGUGGUUAAAGAAUAGCAAGGAAAGAAAGAACCUUCAAAUCCACCUGCUCUGCUCAUUGGAAAUGCAAUAAACCCGGAGAAGGUAUGCUCCAAAGAGAACUCAUCUCUUAGCCAUGGUCAGAGACCCCUGGGAUGCAUGAGGAAUCUUGGUUGAAUGAAUGAGCCAAUGAAAGAAUCAAGCUGCAACUCAAAACAGAGAAACAGAGCUGGAAAAUCCACUGGAAAUUCCCAGGGUCCCACUGAAAGACUAGUUUAGGCUUUAUGUUUGCCAGACUGUUCUACAGUGUAGAAGUUGUUUUUGGAAACGUUGGAUACAUUCUCUCUUUAUUCAGCUCUCUCUGCCAACUCUGGCCAAAUCACAUCUGAAAGCUUAUUAAGACAUCCAUUCAGCUCACAAUGUCGUGGCUUCCUCCUAGUCUGCUCGUCACAGCUUCUGAAAGUCUUAGGGCUUCAGGUUUUGUCAGACUGCUCCCUUCUGCCGGCAGAGGACCUGUAACACUGCCCUAUCGAAGAGUCAGGGAAUAAUUCACAAAUGGGAGGAAUGCUUUUGAAUGAGAGAAAUGAAGUCUGAACUCUGCCAGCAGUAAUGCAGGAGAAGAGAGGGAUGUGCAUGUUGUAAAGGAGGAAGAACGAAGGAGGGGUCAAGAUCUAUAAUGAACCACCUUUCUGGUGACAACAGUCCACCCUCCUUGGCAGAGAGUUCCAGCACAGUGACUGCAGCCGCACGGGAGACAAGAGGCUGGGGGAGCAGCUGUUUCAGUGUUUAUGAGGCAGGCUAUGGCUCCUGAACCUCCAAGAGAACUAAACAGAUGUAGUCCUUCUCCUGUCUCCCUCCCUUCCCAAAAUAGAGGACCACAGCUGCUGGGAGAAGAAUUACCAGCCUCAAGACAGACCUGACCCAGUGACACAGGUUUGUCAGCACCCCAAGGACUGGACAGCGCCACAGCCCCUCCAGGAAUUUUCUUCUCCCUACCCUCAACCCCUGUUGGGUAAAACCACAAACACUAAAGACAAACCAAAACAAGCAAUAUCAAAUUAUAAUAAAACCAAUCCCCACACAUUAGUCUACCUUCCAUGCAUACAUUUCUCUCUCCCACUUCUUAAAUCGCUUUGAUCAGGCUUCUUUCUGCCCCCAAUUCUCACUAAACUGUUGAUGUUGAAGACUGUGGGCACAAAGAACUAUAGAAUCAAGGAGAGGAUUCUUUCUUGCUUAGUGUGCUAUGGGUGAAAGGGAACAGCAAAGUUCUCACAGAAAAGGGUAGGUCUGGGAUGUGUGAUGGAAGAUAUGUAGGAUUUUGUUAGGUAGAGAAGGGUAGAGGAGAUAGGCUGAAAAAACCAGCAAGAGCAAUACAGGCAGUGUGGUCUGCAAGUGCACAUCAUGAAUGGGAAAGACACGCAAAGAGACUGUUGCAGCUGAGGCUUAUAAUACAUGGGCAAUGACCCAGAGAUCACGUUGCAAAGUUGGGCUGUGAAAAAAAUUUCAUAUCAUGCCAAAGACAUUGUUUGUAUGUUGCAUUUGUGAUGGGAGCCCUAGAAGUUGGUAAGCAGAAAAGAAACUAGUUAUUUUUUACUCAACUUGGAAUUCAAGAAUUCCAAGAAUUAGAUUAAGUAUAAUUAUGGGUUGAUGCUACACUUUCAAGAUUGUAGGCACAUGGCUUUCUUUCUAUUUCUUCAUUUAUUUCUUCUUUAAUUCCUUCCGUUCCUCUCUCCUCCUUUCUUUUUAUGUUAAUAGAUUUAGGUUUACAGAAAACUUAGCAGAAAGUACAAAGUUUCCAUGUGCCCUCCACCCAUUACUGCCCCCACCCCCUGCCAGUUUCCACACAUUUUGCAUUGGUGUGGAAAAUGUUACAAUUGAUGAGUCAAUAUUGAUACACUACUAUUAAAUAAAUCCAUGGUUUACAUUA